UACAUCUAUCAAGAAACCCAUGUCC
rnacentral:piRNA from 1 species